rnacentral:rRNA from 1 species
GAUGGACGCUGGCGGCGUGCCUAAUACAUGCAAGUCGAGCGAAUGGAUUAAGAGCUUGCUCUUAUGAAGUUAGCGGCGGACGGGUGAGUAACACGUGGGUAACCUGCCCAUAAGACUGGGAUAACUCCGGGAAACCGGGGCUAAUACCGGAUAACAUUUUGAACCGCAUGGUUCGAAAUUGAAAGGCGGCUUCGGCCGUCACUUAUGGAUGGACCCGCGUCGCAUUAGCUAGUUGGUGAGGUAACGGCUCACCAAGGCAACGAUGCGUAGCCCACCUGAGAGGGGGAUCGGCCACACUGGGACUGAGACACGGCCCAGACUCCUACGGGAGGCAGCAGUAGGGAAUCUUCCGCAAUGGACGAAAGUCUGACGGAGCAACGCCGCGUGAGUGAUGAAGGCUUUCGGGUCGUAAAACUCUGUUGUUAGGGAAGAACAAGUGCUAGUUGAAUAAGCUGGCACCUUGACGGUACCUAACCAGAAAGCCACGGCUAACUACGUGCCAGCAGCCGCCGUAA